rnacentral:lncRNA from 1 species
GGAGCAAAGAUAGUAGUAAAUGUAGGAGUAAAAUCUACCGCUAUGGAUCACUACACUAUCAUGCUCUACACUAACCAACUGUAGGAAAUGUCAAAUCUGACCCAAUCCAAUCGGGACUGUAGGCAUACCCGUCCCUGGGACUGUGAACACACCCGUUUCUACCCAGUUGUGACUAUCCAGCUACCUCCACAUUACUAGCCGUGGAGAGCAAGUCCAACCGGCAUGAGCGACACCAACGCGAAAGCACAGCGCCCGUCUCCGGAGUGGCACUCGUGGGAGCUACCCAACCGAGUAUGCAGCGUAUCUCUGUAGAGCUCAAUCAGGCUCUCAAAAGCCAAAGUCAAAUAACCGACUCAAACUGGUCUAACAACCAACAGGUAACGUGCUCUCGGCACAAUCUGACGCCAAAUAGGCGAUACGGGUCCACCGUCAACCCCCACAGCACCCAACAGUCCGGAACAGGAUGAACGCUACUGUAAAAAUACACUCGGCAUCCCAGCACGAGCGUAACUAAAAUCUAAACUAUCUGGGAUACUCACUAUGAGGAUAUUGGAACAGUAUAAAUUAAUACAACGGCCCCUAGGGCUAAAUCAAGUAGUUAAACAUAUGACGAUGAUAAUCGCGAGUUUUAUCCUUAGUCUCAUCCAAGUCCAACAUGUAUAUAUAUUCAAAGAUAAUAACCAAGGCUCCAAUUCAGAUUAUUAACCAUACUAAAUCAAUGAACCGAGCAAUUACGACACACAAAAUAAUUCCACGAAUACAUGUCGACUAUAUAGGCACUUAGGAGUAAACCGAUGAUUAACCCACCUUAAUCGCAAAUCCUCGACAGUGAAGAAGGUCACCGGAGUCCCUGUCAAGCUCGGCGUAGCUCCCCGAACCAGCGACAACAACGCUCCACGGGUCUAAACAUAGAAGCCCACAAUAAACCUCGAAUCUGCCCAAAGCAACAGCAGCAGAGAGAAAUAGGGAUACGACCAAGCUAACCUUUACCAAAUUCGGCAAUUAAAGGUUUCGUGGAUUCCUCUAGAAAUGCUGAAUCCAACAAACCAAGUUUCGUCGCAAUCCGACACUCCUACGUCGAGAACGAGCCAAACGCCAACGGUCGACGUUGGAAAAUCUGCAAAUCAGCACUUAGCUCGAAUUUGAUGAUGCUUGGAAAUGAAGAAGCAAUUCGACGGAACACCUACCUUGAUAGCGACUAGCACCAGUGCGACGUCAAUAAUGGCGAAGAUCCACGCUCGCCCGGCCUCCUUGCGAUGUAAUGGCAGCAACCGUAUCCCCGAACGGCUCCGCGGCGCGACGUCGGCGACAAAAGCUCCAACUGAGCUCCUCCCUAGCCUACAAUCGGUUUGAGAGUGAGAGAGAGAGGAAGAAGAAGUAGAGGAACUUUCUCUCUCUCUCUCUCCACACAAGGUUAAAUAGAGAGAGGGAGAGCUGGUGACACAAACGAGGCUCGAAAAGACUGAAAUGCCCCUCUACCUACCCAGGCGUACCGGUACACGGGCCGAAGUACCGGUACAAAGGCUAACCCGAGAGCAACCCGCGCGCAGCCUGAUGAAGUGUACCGGUACACCUUGAUGGCUGUACCGGUACAGCAAGCAGAAAAACUGCUAUUUUGCAGAUUUUCUCGCCAAAUGCUACACUCGCGUCGCAGAGAGUCCGUUUUGCGUCUAUUUCACGCCAAAGCGACUCGGACUUGUCCCGACACUCUCAUGAGUUGUCGACAAGCCUCCACAGCCGAACACCAGGGAUCUCACAAUUAUAUUCAUUUUUAAUAAUUUAUACUUAAAAUACUCUUACAAAUAACAAAAAUAUAUUAAGAUUUUAUUUUUUUUUCUUAUCGAAGAAGUAAGGACGAUAUGGUCAUUUUGCCCUCUUUAUUAAUGUCGUACAUCUCUGAAAAUAUUUCUGAAAUUUUAAGAAGGCAAAAUGUAAGUUUUUGAAAGUCAGGAGGAAUAGUAAAAAAGCGAAUAAUUUUUUAAAAAAAUUCUACAAUUUAGCCUUAUUUUCUAAUUUUUUUAAUAAACUUUUUAUAUUAAAUAAUAGGCGUAGAAAUUGAAUAUUUAUAAUUCUUACAUUCAAAAUAUUUAUUUGGCAGUAAAAAAUUAAAGAUUUUGCUUUUUCACUUUUUUGAAAGAGAUUGUUAUCUAUUUUCUAUGAUAAAAAUUAAAAAUUAAUCGGCUAGUAAUUUUUAGUAAAAAUGUGAAGAGCCCUCCUCAAAUACAGGUCAUUAAUUUUACACCGCUCAUUACUCUUUUAGUUAUUUCUAUUGAUUAAAUCAGGGUUGUCGUUAAAAUUAAUUUUUACGCGCUUAAAAUAAGAAAAUAAAAUAAUAAAAAGUUACGAAGAGUUCCAAUAAAUAGAAAACUAAUUGAAGAUCUCUUUCAAUAUAGCCUAUCAUCAAAGGGGCUUUCCAUGCAUUUUUACCACAUUAUUAUUAUUAUUAUUAUUAGGUUAAAAUACAAAAAAUCUCUUUGUAAAUAAUUUUUUCAGUUUUUUCUGACUUUCAAAAACCUAUAUUUUGCCUAUUUAAAAUUUCAGAAAUAUUUUCAGAAGGUCACGGUACUAAUGGAGACGGCGAAAUGACUAAAUCGCCAUGACUUGUUCUGUAAGAGAAAAAAAUAAUAUUUUUAAUAUAUUUUUAUAUUUUUAAGGACAUUUUUGAUAUAAAUUAUAAGAAAUUGACGGAAUUAUAACAGAACUCUUACGGAGGGGGACUAAAUCCAUCAACUUAAAAUUUUGAGUGGGUAAAAUAUAAAUGUUUAAAGGUUAAAAAAAUAAAUAUUUACAGAAAAAUUUUCUGUAUUUCGAUUUUAUUAUUAUUAUUAUUAUUAUUUUCAUAAUGGAAACUAACUCUCCAGAAUGCACAUGGGUGCACAUUGCAGAUGAAUAUUUCCUGAGCAGAUUACCUGCUGUGAACUUGAGGCUUGGUCAAGCUGCAGUUCGAUUAGCUGCAACCCUAAACCGCGUUUUCCGACAAAGCUGAGAUUAAUCGCGCUUUCCGCUUGUGUUUAGCUGCAAAAUAAAAUUUAAACCUCGUUCAAAAGUUUAGAUAUUUUCCUUGCGUCGCAUAAUAUGUCAACGUUCGUGAUCAUUUAUUUGGGUAAACUUUACUUUGUCUUUCUGGUAGUUUAGCAUAUUUUCACUUUAUCUCAGGCGGUUCAACAAAUUGCACUUAACUACUCUGUUAUUUUUAUUGUUAUUCCGCCGAAAAACUUGUUCAUCAAAUAGGAUAGUAAAAUAAAAUUGUUGAGAAACAUUAAAUGAUAUUGUUAAAUAUCAAAAUAUAUAAACACCAUUCUCUAACAGUUUAAGCUUUUAAAGUAUAACGAUUGCUUUACAUGAUAUCAAAGCAAGAGGCCUCGAGUUUGAGUCACGUCAAGCUUUAAGGCGUUAUUAACCCACAGCGUGGCAAAUGAAAACAUUCUAUACUAUAUAUAAGAGAGUUAAGUGAGGUAAAUUAUAAUUUACCCUUUUAAUUUCUUAUAAAUAUUUCUUGAUCUGAACAAACGGACGCCUUAUUGAAUAUUUCUAGUUACAAAAAUUAUUGGGAUAAUUUUAUAUGUAUUCCUGCAAAGUUUUAAACUUGCUAAUUUAUUCAUAUAAAGUUUAAAACUUUGCAGAUUUAUUCAUAUAAAGUUUGGAUUAUCAAGAUAUUUCUCUGAGUCUCCCAAAAAACACAAAUUUAAUAAUUUUUUUUUGAAUUUAUAAUUUAUAGUUCAUGUAGAAAGACACCAAAGUUAAAGAUAAAAAUACUAGAAAUGAUAAAUGAUGUUAGAUAGUAUUAAAAAGAUAAUAUAUUUAAGAAUAGAAGCAUUAUUUUACAGAAGAAAUGUUAACUUCAAUCAUUCAAUUAAUAGGAAGAGAUAUAUUUACAAACUAUGCAACUUAAAAAAAUAGGAAUAAUUACCUAUAUAGCCUCAUACGUUUGAAAAUAUCUAAUUUAUCCUCCCUCUUUUUUUUCUUUCUAAAAUAUCCUUCAUAUGUUCCACCGUUAUUGCAAAAUACCCCCACAGUUAUCUAAUGUUAAGUUAACUUGGGUUAAACGUGAGUUAAAUAUCUACCAGAGUUAAAAAAAAAUUAAAAUGUCAAUUUUGCCCUUAACUUAAGGGCAAAUAAGAAAUAUUGGCGACGGUAGAGGGGUAUAUUGGAAAAGAUCAAAAGUCAAAAUAUUUUUUGUGCCCCUGACUUUAAGGACAAAUAAGAAAGUUAGUAAUAGUGGAGGGGUAUAUUUGAAAGGGCAAAAUAGUAAUUUUACAGAGAUAACAGAGUUAAUUAACAGAUUUUAACUCUAGGGAUAUAUUAGAAAUAGGUUGGAACGUAGAAAGGGUAUUUUCAAUAUUAGCCUUCUAAGAUGGAUAAAUUGGAAAGUCGGAAACUUUUCAGGGAUAUAUAAGCAAUUGCCCCCCAAAAAAUAUAUAUUUUAUAGAAUUAGGCUACUAUACUAUCUAUAGUACCGGAGCUCCGGUACUAUAGUGUUGUUUUCGAUCUUAGGGCAUUCAAAUCAACGAUCCACACCGUUAAAUAUGAUCUAGGGUAUAUGAAGUUCUUAGGAAUAAAAUUUUAGUUUUUUUCGAUAUCGUUUACUUAGUAAAUAAAUUAUGUCAAAAUGGACGGUGGAAAUUGAAUACUCUUUAAAAUUUGAGCAUAGGACUUUUAAAUUUAAGAUCAAGAAUGUUAACCUUAAUCUAUAUAGUUUAAAGUAUUUUCUAUCAAAAUUUGAAGAAAUUUAGAUUCUUCUACACCGUUAAACUCCAAACUUGUCAUAAUAGCUAUUGAAAAUUGACAAUUUUGAAAUGGUUUGAUCAUAAAGUAAACUAUGUCGAAAAAAUAUAAAAUUUUAUUUUUAAAAACUUUAAAUACCAUAGAUCAAUUUUAACGGUGUGGAUCGUUGAUUUGAACGCCCAAAGAUCGAAAACAACACUAUAGUACCGGAGCUCCGAUAUUAUAGAUAGUAUAGUAGCCUAGCUCAUAUUUUAUAACUAUAAGAGAUUAAUCUAAACUUUUUUCAUAUUUAUUAUGCAGAAUAUUUUUUAGUGUAUAUUUUAGUUUAGAGUGCAGCAAUUAAUCAUGUAGAUGCACAUACAUACAGCUGGGAGAUGGUAUUGCAUAGAUUUUUUUUUCAUUUUUAUUUUGGUAAAACAGUAUGGAAACCCCCUCAAGUAUAGACAAAUUGGAGAAAGCCCCUCCAAUUCUUUUGGAAAAACUUCAAAUACUACACUUUCGUUUAGCACUUUUUUUAUUUUACUGUCCGGUGGCUUAAAGUGUAUCACUUUAGUACCAUAUGAUUUCAUUUUUUUUUUUUCCAUUAAGCCCUACGUUAAUUUCUCUAUUUAAGUAUAUAGAAAAAACUUUAGACACCACGCUUGUGGUUUACUAAUUUUUAAUUUAGUAUUCUGUAAUUUUAACUUAAUUUAUCACUAGUUUAAUAUAAAACUUAAUGGAGGGGAUAACGAAAAAAAAAGAAGAAGAAAUUGUAGGAUACUAAAAUAAUACAUUUUACACCAUAGGAUAUUAAAGUAAAACGCAAAAAAAUCAUACUGUGGGUAUUUAAAGUUUUCCUAUUUUAUUUAUUAAGACUAUUCAAUUUCUUUUUUUUUUAUUCUGACUUUUAUACUUAGUUAACUUAUUAAAGUUCUACAAAAUUUAAUGAAUUCAUUGGUUAUUAACCAUUACUUGAUCUAGUUCUAUUUGCUAAAGAAAUACUUAAAGUCACUAAAUUGGGUAAAAUCUCAAAUAAAUUUGAUAAAAUUCUAGAUAUUUUGACAAAAAUCAGUUUAUCUAAAACAUCAGAAGUUGAGGUGGUCUGAAUUAGAAAGAAAAAAAGUUGAGGGGGGUUUUCCCAAAUGUCCUAUCGUUUAUAUAUAUAUAUAUAGAGAGAGAGAGAGAGAGAGAGUUGAGAGAGAGAGAGAGAGAGAGAGAGUUGAGUUGAAAUACUAUCGGUAGCAAAUGAGCUUCAUUGCCACCCAUUUAUUUUUUAUGAUGGAGCCUCCAAAUCGACGAUCGGCAUCGUUGAAUAUGAUCCAUACCACUUGAAGUAUCUAGAAACCAAAUUUCAACUCUAUAUAUAUAGAGUUAAGCUGGAAUGCUAUCAGUAGCAAACGGGCUCCGUUGCCAUCCAUUUGUUUUCGAUGAUGGAACCUCCAAAUCGACGAUCGGUACCGUUGAACAUGAUCUAUAGCACUUAAGGUAUCUAGAAAUUAAAUUUUAUGCUUUUUCGAUAUUGUUCUCUUGUCCAUCAAGUGGGUGCAAAAAUGAACGGCUGAAAAUGAAUAUCCUCUAAAAAGUGAAGAUAGAAAUUUUGUAAUCAANUUUUUUUUUUUUCUCCCUCUCUCUUCAAUUUCUUUUCUCCCUUCUUUUUCUUUAAGCCCAAUUUAAUUUUUUAUUUUUUACUAUAAAUAUUUAAAAUAUAUAAUAAUUUUUACAUAGUUUAGACUAUUUAUAUUAAAUAUAAAUUUUAAUUUUAUACUCUUGAGCAUUUAAAUAUAAAUUGUACAUUAAAAAAUAAAAAAAAAAUUGAUGGCAUUUAAGUUAAUUUUAUAUUUUAUAAAAUUUAGUUACAAGAAUAGUAUAAAAUAAGCUACUUAAAUCUAUAGAACGAAGCGAUACAUUCAGAUUUUAAAGUCAAAAUACUAUUGAUUGACUCAUAUCUAAUAUAUCGAAUAAUUGAAUAAUCAAAAUAAAAUUUUGAAAGAUUGGAUUUAUACUUUUCGUCCUUCAAACUAUAAGACGAGUGACACUUUAAUUCUCGAACUUUAAUAUGUUAUGAUUUAAACUAUGAGGCAUGUGAUACUUUCAUCUUUAAAUUUUAAUUAGUUAUAAUUUCUAACUUACAAUAUGAGGCAUAUCAUUUUAGUACUCAACGUUUAUUGCUGCUAUGAAUAUCAUUUAUUAUUCGUAUGGUUUUCACCCUUAUUUUUGUAAUCCACUUAUAAUCUAUUCUUAUAUUUUUAUUGCAGUAAUAAUUGCUUAUUAUUCGGUUGCUUUUUUUUAAUAUAAUUUUUUGACUCUUUUUUUUUUGCUAUUAUUUAUUUAUUUAUUUAUUUAUUUAUUUCUACAAAAUCGUCCCGCUGCAACUCACGGGUCUUUCACUAGUUAGUAAUUAAAUAUUUAGUUUUAUUUUAUAAAAAUAACUAUAAUUUUUUAAUGUGGUCAAGAUACUAUUUUGGUUAAAUUAGAUAAACUAGAAAUAAUGGGAGAAAACCCUAUUAAAUAUUGGGACAAAGAUAAAGUAUUUUGGAAACUAGAAAUCAUAAAUCUUGAAUAUAUUAUACGAACAGCAACUAUAGAAGCUACAAACUAAAAAAAGAAGAGUUUAAAAUGCAUAUAGAUAAAUUAAUGAAACUUGGUAUUAUUCAAAGAUCAUAAUCAAAAUAUAGGUGUGCUGCUUUUACAGUAAACUAGAUUUUCACCCGUGCGAUGCACGGCUAAUAUAAUAAUAUAGAAUAAUAAAAAUAAUUAUGUAAUGAUAACAAAAAAAAUUUUUAAUUAAUUUUAUAUUUUUUAACAAAUAAAAAAAUAUACUAUCAAUCUUAAUUAUAGUACAUAUUAAAGUACACAAGCUAGAGAAAAAAAAAAUUGGACCAAAGUAAAUAUUCAACUAAAAUGCAAAAUUCAAUCCUGCUCUAUUAUCUAUAAAUUGGUGUGCAAAAUAAUUUAUAUUUACAUAUUGAUGUGCGAAAUAAAAUGAUAACUAAAAUUGAUAUGAAAAAUUACAAAUAACAUUAAUAUUUAAACAUAUAAUGAGAUCAACUAAACUUUCAUAUUUGAUACACAUUAGAGUAAGCACACAUAUAUUAUGUUUCUAUUGUCACUUUUAAGAUUCAAAAAUAUAAAGAUGUUGGUUUUCAAAAAAAUAUAAAGAAAAAAAUUUUGUUGCAUGAAAAUGAAAAGUUACAGGAGUGACAGUAGGAAAAAAAAUUACGAAAUGAAAAUUACAAAAGUAACAGGGAAAUAAUAUGUUCUAUUUUAAAGCAUCAAUAUUUAAGAGCGAAGAAAAUUACAGGAGUGAUGUGAGUUUUAAAUUUUUUUCUCUUUCCAAAAAUGUCUCUAUCCUUUUUUACUAAUAUUUUUAUGUCCAGAAAUUUUCAACCAAUCAUUUCAAAUAAUUAAAUAAGUAAUAAUUUAUUCCCAAAUAAAAAUAAAUAUUUUUCUUCUCAAGCGUAAUAUCCGCACCGCCAAUUCUUUCUCAACAUAAUAUCCAUAAAUUUCUCAAAUAUCUCAAUGACUUUGAAAUAAAAUUUCUUUCAUUAUAUGUGAUUUUUAAUAAUAUAGUAAAAAAAUUAAUUUUUUAUAAAAGCGUGAGUUUUUAAUUUUUUCUCUUUCCAAAAAUAUCUCUAUCAUUUUUUACUAAUAUUUUUAUGUUCAGAAAUUUUCAACCAAAUAUUUCAAAUGAUUAAAAAUAAGGGAAGAUGUGCAUGGCGUAGUUGAGGUACUAUUUAAUAAAAUUUCGUUGAAAUGUACAGUUUGCUGAGCAACAUCUAUCCCACCUCUGAAUUUUAGUAUUGUUCUAGUACAGAAAAUUCUUGCUUGAAUCUUGAAAUCGUAUUCGAUGCGCUAGCUAGAUUUAUAAAAGGCUUAAUAAUCUAGUGUGUCCUCAUUAAAGUUUUUUUAAAAUAUCCUUCGAAAGAGUAUGUACAUUACGUCUGAACAAACAAUAUAAACCGUUUUGAUUAAAGAAAAAAGAAAAAGAAAAAGAAAAAGAAAAAACAAUGUUAACCGUUUGUAAUGAUCGAGGGAUUGUUGAUUUGAUAUGGAAUGAGAUUCAAAAGCCUACACAUAUAUAGUAGCCGUAUACUCUGGCGUGUGCAUGCUAGAGUUUAUGUGAGAAGAUGUGUAUGCCCUAAAUAAUUGCCACAUCUAGUUCUUAUAAGAUGAUAUUAUAUAUCCAUCAAUAAAUAAAUAUAGAGAGAGUACGUAGUGCUAUACUAAGCACAAUUUUACAAACUUUUUAUAAAAUUUUCCAGCUUGUUACAUUUCAUAUAUUGGUAGUUGGUCAUGAAUCACGAAGCUAAGAAAUAAAUAUAGUCAUUGAGAAACUAAUGGAUCCGUUGAACAUUCGUAAACAAUUUGAGAUAAUUAGAGUAGCAUAGUAUACUAUAUUUAUUAAUUUGUUGGAAGUUAAUUAUAAUCUAAAUUUAUCUUCAAGGGCCUAUUUGGCUCAAAAAAAAUAAAAUUUCUACGAAAAUUAAUUUUUUAAGGAAUUAUAAUUUUAAAAUUAAAUUUCAAUAUUGUAGGAGUAUGAUUGUUUGUUUUGUAUCUUAGAAAACCUAGGAUUAUAUAAUACUUACGUUAGGUUCAACAUAGGAAAUAUAUAAUUGGAUUAUAUUGAUAAGUUUAGCAUAAUAUCCUCAUUAAUAAAGAUUGAUAUUAUUAUAUAUAUUAUAACUUUUAUACCAAAUAGGAUGAUAAAUAUUAUACUUAAAAAGGAUAUUUUAGUCCAUUAAAAUCAAUUUCCGUGGAGAAAGAAAAAAAGCAAGAGAGGAAGCCCGUUUCGAAUUCACAUGUUUUUUGGAAUAAGAAUAUGCUUAACGUAAGAAUUGUUGGAAAAUUUUUCUGAUCUUUUAUUAAAAAAUUCUUUAAAAUUAAUUUGAAAGUUUAAUUUCAAUUUUAAAAAAAUUCCGAAAGAAAAUUAAAUAAUAAAGACCGUAAAGAAAAUGAUUAGAAAAGGCCUGUAAAUCGAGGUAUGCUGAGUACUGUCCUAGAAGCGAAAUUGCCCCUCCAUAUGCGAGGCUUCCCGGCAAUUACAUCCAGCGAUAUAAUGACCACGUUCCACCGCAUCGGCAUGAUUCGAAGGUGGCGCAAGACGAACCCAACAAGCUUUAAAUCCAGCAAAAUUUGAGAAAACUCGGCGAAAAUCGGCGCAAAAGAUCAAUGACGAGAAAGUAGGAAAAGACGAGAUAGAGGAUAGGGUUUUGCUCUUAGGUAUGCCCAUAUUCAGGUUAAACUCACGCAACCCCCUCCAAUAUAUAUAACCAAGGCAAAAAUCUUACUUCAACGCAUCAAUUCAACAUGUCAAUUCCGUGUAGGAUAAAGAUAAAACCGAAAAAAAAAUAAAAUAAAAUAAAUCGGAUGCAUGGACCGCGCGCGCCAGUGUCCUCCCGGCUUGGCUCGGCUCGUGCCGUGCGUGUGUUUAGUCGAGGGCAUAACUCUCAUUUUCUCUCAAGCAACUAGCUUGAGAAUAAAAAUAACAACAUUAUACUUUUAGUUUCUAAUAAGGGACUAAACCUCACAUAUGAAAACUUAAAUUAGGGUUCUAGGCAAGGCCCAUUAAGUAUUGAGCUGCCUAAGAGGCCGAAUAAGUUUUAAAUCACCAAAAAUCCAAUAAACUCUAACAAGAAUUACAAAUUUUUGUCGCUUUGUGACUAACCAAAUAAUAAUUCUUAACUCUCAUUCCUAGGAAUUUUGAAAAAUAUUGCGAACCAAACAUGUCUUAAUGGUCUAAAGUUAAAAGUGUUAUUAGCUAGUUUUUAAAUAAUUCGUUUUUUUUAUCUUUGACUCAGAUGAUUAGUUGAUGAUAGGUUUAGUCCUCAUGAUUUGGUUUCUACAGGUACAAGAAUAAGAGUGGUCCACAGGAGAAACUAGAUAUUGUUUAGAAAUUUGAUUAAUAAAAUCUCAUGUUUACUAAUUAUCAUUUCCUCCAACAUCUCUUUUCCAUAUCAUUUUACUAUAUAUAAUAAUGUUUAUGAUACAUGCCGUUAUACAGCGAGUAUAAGACGAUAUUACAAGUGGUAUCAGAUUGAAUAUUUUUUCGAACAAGUAGGAUAGUCUAUUUUUGUCUAGGUUAAUAUUAUAUUAGCAUCCAAUCAACGAAAUUAGACUGUUAGACAUAAGUACUACAAUCUGGAAAGUUUCAGCCGGAAAUAGCAAAAGAUGAAAGCACAAGGACUAAUAUAAACUAUCAUAGUUUGAGGACUAAAGGUGUAAUUUAAACUUUUCUCUACCAGCUAUCUCAAAUGUUAAAACUUUUCAACUAUAUAUUAUAUAUCUCUCUUCGGUCCACUGUUUUUGCACCGCGAAACGAUUGGCCAUUAAUUUGCACAUUAUUAUCUGCUGUCCCAAGAAGCCGAUUCCCCCUAACCCUAACCCUAACCCUAACCCAACAACCAAACGAAAAAUUGGGGCACUGUUUCCUACUGUUCAUUUCUCUACCCUUUACAACAGUGUUUAUAUCAACCACAAGGGACCAUUCUUUUAUUAAUGUAAAAUUGAUUGCCCAAACCUGAAGGGUUGUGGAGCGGACCCCCUAACCCUUUACAACAGUAUUUACCUCCCUACCCUUCUAGCUAGGGCCCGGGGCAUAUAUUCGUGGUGAGGUUUGCGCUCUUGCUUCUUUUUUUAUUUCUACGGUAUCACAACAUAUUUGAAAUUCUAAAAUUAAAUACGUUAAUCUUUUUUAUCUUAAAAAUCUGAGAAUAGAAUAUUAUACUACUGAAUAAAUUACUGUAUGAAAAUAAUGCUUUACGGAACGAUAUAUAUUAUAUUAAAAUUUUCUAUGUCCUCCACACUCUAAUAGAACAGCUACAAUCAUAUAUAUCACAUUAAUAUUUAUUUUGCGGCCACAUUAGUCUAUUUUUUUCGAUAAUUUUUUUUAUUAAAUACAGAAUAUUUAUUUAUUUUAUUAAACUUUUUUUAAAAAAUUCUCCAUUUAGAACAAUAUGUUUCAAACAAAAAAAAAGUCUUAAAUCAUAAUAAAUUUUAAAAUUUGAGUGCUAAAAUAAUAGCACUGCUAGCUGAGGGGCUCUUCUUAAGGAACUCGUCCCUUUAAGUAAUCCGUGCAAUACGACGGAUAGAUAAUUGAAGAAAAAAUAAAAAAAAUGACGACAAGAGAAAACAGCAAUGAAAGAAAUGGCUAUAAAGGAUGAGAUUCAUCUUGCCGAUGAAGGAAACUGAAGGAAGAGGAAGAAGAAUAGUUCGGUUCAUUGUAGAGGUGUAACCCGGUUCGGUUCAAGACAAAAAAAAAAAAGGUUGACCUGGUACGAUUUAAGUAAAGAAAGAGAGAAAUCAGAUUCAUUUCAAGCAAAAAAAGAAAAACAUGUAGAAGACGAGCCGGUUCGGGAGAGUCCAUACUUAGCAAUAAUCAGUUCGGUUCAAGCAAAAAAAGAAAAAAAUCCAGUUCGACUUAAGCAAAAAAAAAAAUGAAAACAUGUGGAGAAUCUCAGCCAGUUCUAAUUAGAGCCCACACUCAAUAAUGAAGGACAUGUUGUCAUUUGGCAAAUUUAAGAAGAAUAAUGUAUAGGUAUAGAUUAAUUAUUCCGCCUUUAUUAAUUAGGAGUAGUGUUGGAACAAAUAGUUAGGGUGGGCAUGGUUAGGUUUCAUUGAGAUUAUAAGAUAAAGUUAUCCAAUUCCAAUCCACAAACUAGUUUACCAAAAUCAUAAGUUAAUUAACCAAAUCAUGCAUCGAGUAGCUAGAAAUUUCAGACCGAAACUUUCGAUUUGGUUUUGUGCUGAUUUUUCUAUUUGAACAGUUAAAUUUGACCUAAAGACGAUCUGUACAGUUUAUUGAUUUCAAUAUAUUAGUUUAAUUUAUCAAGGUUCUUUAGAUUAUCUCUCUUCCUCUCGGGCAUAAAUUAGGACGCACGUAUAUACUAUUACUUUGGCUUUUCGGUUUGAGCUGGGAAUUUUUUUUUAAAAAAAACUUCAACCCAAAACUGAAUCAAAAUUUUUGGUUCGGAAAUUUCUUGAACUAAUUAAUUAAUUUUAAACUUCUUACAAUUAAAACUGAAUCAAACCGAAUAAAAAUUGUCGAUUAGAUUUCAUUCCGUGGUUUUCUUGAAUUUCAUGCUCACAUUUAAGAACAAGCUUCUGCUUCUGCUCUGGAUUGCAAUCAUUUUGAAUAACAUGUUUAUUAAAAAAAAUCAAAAGUGUCCAUAAUGACAAAAAGUUUUUUUUAUUUUUUAAGAGAAAGGUAGCAUGCUAUCCGUUUCGUUUAUUUCGUUGAGAAAUAAAUUUAGCUGAAAAUAUGCAUCAACUAGGAUUCGAAUUUGGGUCUCGAAUACCAACCACCAAAUCCUUUUGCCACUUGUGCUAGGGACGGUCAGUAUAAUGACAAAAAGUUAAAAAAGGAUUUGUACCAUAUAGAUAGAAUAUCGGAUAAUGUGAAGAUUUUAAUAUAAACUUCUUCUAAGCCCCAUUCGUAUGUAGGCCAUUUUGAAAUUGAUUCUUCAGCUUUUCUUUUUGGAAACACCCCUCAACUUUUUAGGGUGUUUUUUCUAAUCUAAGUUAGAUAACUAAAUUACUAACUCUAUUAACUAUUAAAAUCAUUAAUAUUAACAAAUUAUGGAAAUAACCGACCGUCCCUAGUGCAAGUGGCAAAAGGCUUCGUGGUUGGUAUUCGAGACCCAAGUUCGAAUCCUAGUUGAUUCACAUUUCCAGCUAAGUUUAUUUCUAAAUGAAAUAAACGAAACGGGUAGCAUGCUACCUUUCUCUCAAAAAAAAAAAAAAAAAAAAAAAUGGAAAUACAGUAUAGAAUAGUAAAAUUUAAUGGGAUCAUCAUUGGAUUUAACAAUAUUCUAAACUGGUUUGUAAAAGUGCGAAUGUUGGAGUCUUUGUGCAUUUUAAAUUACUAGUAAAUCAAAACUCUUAAUUUGGUGAACUUAAACACCAACUAAUUAAUUCCACACUAAAGCAUGUCUUUGUCCUUUCCAUUAGUUUAUCCCGACCAUACCCCGCUCUCACCAUUGCCAUACCCUAUAACCUUAUUUAUUUUCUCUUGUGUCGAAAUCUCCUAGCCUUGUAUAAUGGGCUCUCUUUUAUCUCCAUUUUUUUUAAUUAAUUAAUUAAGCUCUUCUUAAUCACAUCACUGGUGGUUAUCUGCAUCUCUCUCUUUCUCUCUUUAAAGAAUCAAAUCCCACUACUUGACAAAGUGGACCAAAUAAUUAUUAAGUUGAUUUAACAAAUCAUCUCCAACUACUCCUGUCCAUUAGAUUAUUCUUAUUGUCCAAAACCUAGACGGUGGGCAUAAAAAGUUUGAGUGGAAUCUUAUAAGGAUAUUGUUAAUUAAGUUCCCUAAACCCUAAAAAAAAUGUCUAACUGAAGGGCAAAUAUAUAUAUAGCACCAUUUGUCCCCUGAACUUUUGGCCAACUUUAUUUUGGUACUUAUACUUUUAAGUUUGACAUUAGAAAUUAAUUAGUUUAGUACUCGUGGAUAUUUACUAUUAUAUGACAAAUUAUUUAAUUAUUGACUACACCUAUUGCAACUGUCUAUUUAUUGAUCUUUUAUAAUCUCAUGUUCAAUCCUAUUAUUUAUUGAGCUACAACUUUUUCUCCAUAAAACCGAUUGUUCCUAGCGCAAGUGGCAAAGGCUUGAUGGUUGGUACCCGAGUUCCCAAGUUCGAAUCCUAAUUGAUUCACAUUUGCAGCUAAGUUUAUUUCUAAAAAAAUAAACGAAGCAGAUAGUAUGCUAUCUUUCUCUCUCAAAAAAUAAACUUUUUCUCCAUAUAGAGAUUAGAAAACUGAAUUGAAAGUAUAUAUGAGAUAAGUGAAGAAAUCAAUAUAUAUAUUUAUUGCAUAUGGAGAUCUAUAGAUGAACUAGGCGCGCGCUAGCAAUAAUUUUUUUCUUAUAGUGAGGACUGAAAUGAAAUAUUAAAUGAAUGUUAAGGAAUUAAAAUAAAUUAUUAUUUAAAUUAAGCUUGAAGUUGUUGCAUAUCAAAUUUAAAAUUUCAUGGACCACAAAUGAAAUUUGAGUUAAAAUUUAGGGGCCACUAGCUAGUGCACUUUAAUUACCCUAUAAAUAAAUGGUAUAUGUUUUUGUUUUGUUUGGCUACAUUUGUAUGUGGGUUUCCCUUGAAUCUUGCAAAUGAUUGCUUAUAUUUUGUAAAGAGUUGUAGAUGUUAGACAUGGAAAAGAUUACAAGUUUUCUUAAUUUGAAAACAAUAUAUACUGUCCUGUCAUUUCUCUCUAUGUGGUACCUUAUAAAUCUAAUACUUUUAGUUCUCGGGUAAAAUUCUUUAUUAAGGCAAUCCUCACCAUGCAUCGUGCCUUAUCAUUUAAUAUAUUGUUGCAUAAAAUUUAUAAUUCCUUUUUAAUUUCCUAGCGGCAAUCCAUCCUAUGGGUGGGGUGUUCUCAUUGAUCUCAUUCAUAUAUAUGUCACCGGUGAAGAAAUCUCACCCCUUAGAUGGAUAGAGUAUAUGAUUUACAUUUUUAUUUGGGAUGUAUGAGCAGCUAGCAUUGCACUAUUUAUAAGAAAAAUGCCAGUCAUACACUCCAUUUGGGGUGUUUACCUUACACCUUACCAAUCCUAUAUAUAGGGUCUGUUUGUUUGGGUGAAAGUAGAAAGGGUGAUGUAGUUUUUGGUCGUAAACGAUCAGUUUUGCUGUUUGUUUGAUCGUAAUAAUUAAAGAUAUGGUCGAAACUCAAGUUAUCCAAAACAACAUAAUUGACUUCGGCCCACGCGGGCCGAAGUCAAUUAUGUGAAGAAAGGUGAAGGAAAAAAAUAAAAUAAUAAUAAGUAAUAGUAGUUAUAUUUAAAUAUAUUUAAUUAGGGCAUUAAUUACUUUUUUUAUUUAGUUUGCAUAUUAAAAUAUGAUAAAAUUUGAUUAGUUAAGUUUUAUUAUUUUCUUUAUUUAGUUUAGACAUUUAAAAUAUGAUAAAAAUUGAUUAGUUAAGUAUUUAUAUAUUUUCUUACUUCAUAAUUUUAUUGUUGUAUUAUUAUAAUUUAUGUAUUAAAAAAUAAUUUAGUUGUUUUAAAUUAAAAUUUUUAAUUUUAUACAUAAUUAUAUUAGUUUUAUUUAUUAUAUUUAAAAUUUAUUAUUUAUUAAGUUAUUUAUUAUUUAUAUAUAAAUUAUAGUUUUAUAUUAUUUACUUUCUGCCAAACAAACAAUAAAACUGAAGAAACUUCACUUCCAUAACUAUAAAACAAAUUAACAGCAAAAGAGAAGUAGCUUUAAUCGAACUCCAUUUCAACCCAAAGUCAAUUUUGGUAAAACAAAUAGGCCCAGAGGCAAGGUGUUUCCACCAUCUCAUCGAUGUGACUGGUAGAAAAAUUUCACCUAUUGGAAAGAUAAGAUGUAUAAUUUAUAUAUAUAUAUUUUUUACAUAUAUGAAUAGCAUUGCUCUGUUCAUAAAUUCUAGGCGUAUGUGCAUCUUAUCUUUUGGUAUUGUUCUAUGACGCAUAUAAAAUAAGUGAUAAAUGAUCAUUAAGGUUUUUCAUACUAACAACAUAAAUUAUGUUAGAGAUAUAGAGUAAAAAAACUCAGAAAUUUCAUUUCCUUCCAAGUUUAUUUGCCAUUUUCACUUUCGUUUUCCUUCCAUUUUAUCAACUUAGGUUUAAAACUUGUGGGAUUACUCUUUUCUCUCUUGAUGUCUAGUCCCAUACUGGAAGUGGAACUAAUAGCACAUCUACUUAUAUUUUGGGACGUGACAUAAGCCCUUAGGGGCUUGUAAAGAAAGAAAAUUGGAUUUGAGAAAAAACUUUUAAUUUAGUGCGCACACGCACACCGCACCAAAUCAAACCAAACGAUACUGUGCGUGUGCACCAAAUCAAACCAAACGAUACUCAUGCGUCAUCGUGCAUGAGAACGUGCGCUGAAUGUUGCGCAAUGCUCAUCCCACAUAUCUAUAGAAUCCCUUAUUAUAACUCAUCCCACAUACCUAGAGCAAGUGGCAAAAGGCUUGGUGGUUGGUAUCCGAGGUCUCAAGUUCGAAUCACAUUUCUAGAUAAGUUUAUUUCUAAAAAAAUAAACGAAGCGGGUAGCGUGCUGCCUGUCUCUCAAAAAAAAAAGACUCAUCCCACAUACCUACAGAACCCCUCCUUGUUGUAACAUGGUGUUGAACAAACUCUCUAUCAACCUCCACCAUCAUGAUUACUAGUGAAGGCCCGCGCUACGCAGCGGAAAAUUUAUGUAAAUUUUAAAAAUUUUAAAUUAUAUAGUAAAUAGCACCUAAACUGUAAAGUCAGCAAUAUUAGAAGAUAUUCGAUUUAAAAUUUAACUUUUUAAUUUAAAAUUAAAUUUUAAAUUUUAAAUUUAAUUUUUUAUUUUUUGAAUGUGAUCUAAAAUUAUACGAAACAAAACAAAAAGGAUUAGAAAAGAGGGAAAAAAGGGGAAAAAAGUUAGAAGAGGAAAGGGAAAAAAAGAGAGAGAGGAGUGGGUCCACAGGAAAAAAAGCUUAAAAAUAAAAAUACUAUAUAUAAUAAAUAAUUAAUUAAAAAAAAUAUUAUAUUAUAUAAUAAAUUAUUAUAUAAUAAUAUAUCCAUAUUAUAAAAAUAUAAUACUAUGUAUAUUAACUAAAUAUAUAUUUAUAAAUAAAAUUAUAUAUAUAUAUAUAUAUAUAUAUAUAUAUAUAUAUUAUAAAUAAGAGUCUAGCUAUGGUGCUUGUAAAAGCACCAAGCACUUGGUACUUGUAAGUUUUUUACCGUUAGAUCUACUUCUCGGAUAUUUUCAACCAUUAGAUUAUACUAUUCAACCAACAACUCACUCAACCCUAGGAAGCCCACAUCAUCCUAACCGCAUAUCUCUUAAUCUAAUGGCUAAAAAUCUACAAGCACCAUUGUCUUGGUACUUUCAAAAGUAUAGAAGCUCAAUUCUUAUAAUUAAAAAGAGAGAGAGAGCUAGGUUGACUGCUCUCUCUCUCUUUUGGUCCACGAGGUGAAGCACACCUCGUGGACCGCUUGCAAAGGGCACAUCAGCUGCGCCAUGUGAGCCCCGUGUUUUUUAUUGUAGCUUUUCGUUUUCCGCUUCGGGGUCGUGUGUUAACGGACACAGGGAGAGUGGGGAACUCUGUUGUAGUGUCUCCUACUCAUGGCAAAGAUGAGAUAAAGGAAGAAGCCACCUUAGCUUAGUAAAAGACGUUGGUGUUGUUUCGUGAUCUCCUCCCACUCAUCGGAUUCGUCUCUCGGCCCUCACGUGGGGCUCCUGCUGCGGUUAAAAAGUCCCCCCACCCCCCCGCACAUGGGCGGCCGAAAAAAUGCUAGUUGUACGUCUCCAAAAAGGCUUAUUAUGUACGACCAUCUAUUUAAUGGUGGAUGUUUCUAAACUUUUUAAUUGUUUUAUAAACGAGUAUCUGAACUUUCAAUUUUGAGGAUCGCACUCUCUAAACUUCUUCUUCUUAAUUAAAAUUACUAAUUAUACGAUCAUUUUAAUUGAUAACUAUAUUGUAGUUUCAAUUUUGACAAUCUGAACUUUCAAUUUAUUUUUCCAAUGGAAAGCUUCUCUCGUUGAGGAGUCUUUUGAUAUGCACGCAUCACAUAGUUGGGGAACUCCCCAACGAAGCGUCGUUAGGGAGCUCCGUCCAGCUACUAAAGUUUUUUCUGAUAGGAAAUCACUAUCUUAUUUUUUAGGACAUUAAAAAGGAAAAACAAACAAAUGUGAUUGUUUCAAUCAGUCACUUUUCUUCUUUCUCUAUACCAUAUACUUAGUUUCCUAGCAACCGUCAAUCAGAUUAAAACCAAAUGAGUGAGAUGCGUGCGUUUAAUAAUAAAAAUAAAUAUAGCAUUUAAAGGAAGUAGCUUAAGAGAAGGUUGUAAAGAUGCUCAGGUGAUUUAAGAGUGAUACUGUUCAUAUAGAACUGGUUUCAAUACAAACAUAGAGAUUCAUUGAAUCAUUUUAUUAUUUGCUGGACGAAUUCGAUCACAUGUUAUAAAGCUUAUAUGCUUUUACUAAAGCAGAUCCGGUAAUAAUACCAUUCUCUGGUGAUGAGGUAUUAAGAUUGUGGUCGGUUUUCACAAUUAAUUAAUUGUUACGCACAUGCACAUGAAUGUUAAAUAACUAAUUAUUUAGUAAAUAAAAGAGCUGCAAGACUUUAGUAACAUUUAGUGCUUUGGUUCGUGAUUAAAAUAAAAAUGAGAAAUAAAAUUGAGUUUUUAUUGGAAUAUGAAAUGGAAUUACGAUUUAUUCAAAAAUAUUUGAUUUAUUAUAGAAAUCAGAAUGACUAAUUGUACAUCAAGAAUUUUGAGAGAAUUUUUUGGUUAAGACAGAGCAGAGUGAUGAAGGGAGAAAAGGAAGAGAUAUUUGUAAGAGAAGAUUUUGAGUAGCUUACUCUGUAAUGAACUAAUUUAUAAUUUAAAGCUAGAUUUGGUCAUAAAAAAAUUUAGGCAUUUUUUUUCGAGAGUGGAAUGAAAAUCAGAAUUCUAUCAUUCUAAAAUAUGACCAUCGAAAUCGAUGAAUUUAAUUCUGUUUUUAGAGUUCAAAUUAGGGCAUGUUUGUUUCAACGUAAGUAGACUUGGGGUGGAAGUGGACUUUGGGUUGAAGUGGAGUUGGGGUGAAAAUUAAUUCACUUCCGCUGUUUAUUUCUAACGAUGGAAGUACAGUUCUGCAAGUUCUGUUGUUUGUUUGGUUGGAAGUAAAUAACGUAAAAAAUGUAGCUCUUCACCUCUGGUAUACUUACCUCCGAAGUGAUAUCAUUGUCUAUUUUGUAACUUAGUGAAUAAUAAAUUAUAAUGAAUAAAAAUUAAUAUAAUUAUAUAUAUAUAUAUAUAUAUAUAUGUAUAAUUAUAAAAUAAAAUUUUAAAAAAUUAUAUUAUUUGUUUGCAUAUAAAUUAAAAUAAUACAACAAAUAAAAUUCUAAAGUUAAAAAAUUAUUAACAUUUAACAAAUUCAUUUUUCAUCAUUUUCUAAAUAUACAAAUUAAACAAAAAAUAUAUUAAAACUUACCUAACCAAAUUUGAUCAUAUUUUAGACAUACAAUCAAAAUAAAAAAUUUAAUUACUUCCACAAUUGAAUAUAUUUGGAGUUGGGUCUGGGACUCAGGAGAGGAAAAGGUAGAGAAGAGGGAAACCCUAACCUAUGGUAGUAAAUUCGCGAAUUAUUCGCGAAUUAUUUGCGAAUUUUUGAAGAAACGAAUUAAACGACCAAAUUCGUAUUUUUUCUAAAAAUUCGGAAAAAAAAUGAUUGUUUGAUAAAAAAGACUUAUUCGCGUAUUAUACGUGCGCCGAAUUAUUCGGAGCCAAAAAAACGCAGCCCGCAUGCGCUCCAACGCCGCACGCGCUCCCGCAAGGCCCACGCGUAAGGCCUGCACCCCUCGAGCGACUUGAGCGCCUCAAGCGCCCGCGCGCACCUCGAGCACCUCGAGCACCUCGAGCGCUCGUGGCUUGUGGCUCGCGGUCGCAGCUCGCGACUUGCGUGCCUCGCAGGCCGGCUAGCCCAAAACAGAAAAAAUUCCAAAAAAUCCCCUUUCGAAGCACCUCACCCAAAAACAGAAAAAAAAAAAAACUCUUUUCAAAUUUUUUACUUAAUUAACUUAAUUUUGUAACUAUUUAUUCUUAUAUUCUUAAGAAAUAUGAGUAUUUAUACUAAUAACAUAAAUCUUGAGAGAAAAAAAAACUUAAUUUAAUAGCCGAAUUUUUGAUCCCGAAUUUUUAAUUGAUAAACAUAUAAUAUCCGUAUAAAUCACGUAUCCGAAUAAUUGACGAAUCCGUUUUUCAGCCAUAUUUUUUAACGAAUUUAAAAAUUAGAAGACGAAUUUUAUCCGAAUUAUACCCGUACCGAUUUUUUGCCGAAUCCAAAUUAAAUAACUACGACCCUAAUACAUUAAUUCCCACUCUUGCCUCUUUUCACCUCACCGAAAUUGACUUCGCCCCAUGGGAGGGGGAAGUCAAUUUCAUUUUUUUGAGUGAACUAGACUUUCGGGCAUAAUAAAAUUACAGUAAACCAAACAAUGGAAGUGGUCUAUUUUUACCAAAAAUUACUUCUUCCUUUCCACUUCUACCCCACUUCCGUGCAAACAAACAAGCCAAUGAGCAAAGCAAGCCAUUAUAAGAGUCAACUAGUACACACACAUACUAAUUAAAAUUAUUAUAAUAUAAACACCUUUUAAUACUAUUCCUAUAACACCUUAUUUAGUAUUGUUAUUCUAAUUAAUUUUUUAUAAAAAAAAUUUUAUGCGAUUGAAGGCCAAUUUGUAUAAAAAAAUCUACUAGUUUUGCACUUUUGCAAAAGUGGGCCACCUUUUUCGAUUUUGCAGAUUCGGGUCGGAUUUUCAGCAAACUGACUAAAAUACCGUUGUACCUUUUUCUCUCUUCUCUUUUUUUUUCUCUCGUUCUUUUUUUUCUUUCUCUUCCCAGAAAGCAGCGGAGGCAAAGGCGGAGGCGGAGGCGGAGGCGGAGGCAGCCCGCUUCGGUUUUGUCCGGCGCAUCCUUACCUUCGCUCGUGCACCCCCCACCUUCCUCACCUCCGACCCCGCCGAGACCGUGUUGUGACUUUCUUUUUCCCCUCUCUGACCUUCCUCCACCGCCUCCGACGACGAAGCCUAUCUCACCCUCUCUCGCCCUUCUCGCUCUUUCCCUCUCCCUCCUCCUUUGCCUCCUCCGCCACCUCCAACGACGACGCCUCUCUGCCGACAUCGGCGCCGCGGAGGUCGCUACGGCGCCGCAGCCUCGGAGCGGGGGGUCUUUAGCGGCAUUGUCACCGGCGCCAUGGCCGUUGGUGGAAAAACAUGACAAAAAAAAAUUAUAGAAGAAGAAAGAAGAGAAAAAUAAAGACAAAAAAUUAUAUAAGAAGGAAGAAGAAUAUAAAAUUGCACUGUUAAAAUAAGAUUACACUGUUUUAAAACAAAUUUGUACUAUUUUAAUAAAAAAUUGCACUAUUUGAUAUAAAAAUUAUACUAUUUUGGAAUAGAUUUUACACUCUUUAGGCUAAUGUUGCACUAUUUAGGAGAAUUUUGCACCAUUUUCCUUUUCUUUUUCUCUUUCUCUUCUUCUUCCUCUUCCACUGCUGCCUCCCGCCCGCCCGGCCCAAGGUCUCCCCACUCGCCAGGCCCCUCAUCUCCCUACCCUUCGGCCGCGUGACCACCGUCGUGGCCUCCUCCCCCGCAGAUGGCGACGCCCUCGAGGUGGAACCAGGCUGUCACGCCCCGGGACCGAUACCAAUUUGGGCCGGCCCGGGCACGUCAAACAGACGCCGAACGAACAGAGUUUCCCCUGUCCGCCCAAGGCUCAUCACCUGUAUAUUUUCAAGUAGAGAAAAGCACUAGCGGAAACAUACACAAUGGCUUACACGAGGGUAAGCAAUAGCCAUGAGUGAAAGAAAGGAACUAAACAACUACACAAGUACUAUGAUUCAAUUUUUGAUCACAUACAUUGCAUUUAACCUUCAUAUUCAUGAUUCUUAAGCUAAUGUCAUAAAAAGCAUUGGGCUUGGAAAUGGCACAGUAAGCCAAUGAAAUAAACAUGACAUUGGGCUUCGCAAUUGCUAUAGUAACAUAAUCAUCAUCAAAUAAAAAAGUAGGUAUAUGGAAUUGGACUUACCAACAAAAUGUCAAAGAACGACGCAGUAGGCACGGAAUAUGGCGCGAUACCUGUAACGCCCCAGCUCGCCGGAUCGCUCUAAAACCCUUCUAAAAACAGAGUGGCGUGAAAACGUGACAUUACAAAGUUUGACAGAUAGGUAGUACGCGACCCAAUCUCACCGACUUUCCCACUAGAAAUAAACUCAGCUGCAAACAUAGAAACAACUAGGAUGUCACAACCCGGGGCUCGAGGUACAAAGCCAUUUUCAAAACCCAUUACCAUCUUGAAAACUCAGGGUAGCGGAAGAUGUACUUUUUUUUUUUUUUUUUCAACCUGGCCCACGUGACGUACAGACCCGCCACAAAUACAAAGUUCCUCUGUCCACUCGGACAGAGUCUCCUUUGUAUUUGCACGGCGUACCAACGGAUACAACAGGAUCACAACCACAACCUACAAUUACCAAUCAACAACCAAAGCAUGAUAUGCAUUUCCAUACAGCUAACAAUCCUUAGAGAUGAUGCAUGCCUCUAAGCACUCCUUAGGCGCUGGAUGAUGCAAUGCACAAUACAACAACCAUCCUAUUUAAGAAUGCUCCCCACACAGAAGCUUUUAUUUUUGAACUCUAAUUCAUUCAUCAUGAAAAACCAUUUGAAAACCUUUUGAAAACUGUUUCCCACACGGAAACUCUAUUUUGAAAACCGACUACCUCGAGGGGUAGAAAACCACGAUGCGUAAAUCCAUAAAUACAAAUCCGAGAACCACAAAGUAUACAAACAUCCCAAAACUGAAGAUCCAUAAACCAAAUCCACAAUUCCACAAAUCCACAAAUUCAACCAGCUCACAACAUUCAAACAUCAAGUAUGAUCAUCUAACUGAACCAUAUAAACUAACUAGGCUAUAACAACAAAAUAGUAAGGAUAAAAACUAAAUCGAUAACCUGGGUCGGAAGCUCUAUCGACCGCUACGAACGUACCUCACGUCUCGUCCCAAAACUCAUCGCCUGCAAUACCUGAAAAAUGGUGGGGGAGGUGAGAACAUGUAAACAUGUCUCCCCUCCCAGUGGGUACCGCAAGCCGAUGAAGGCGAGGAGUACUCACCGGAUCAGGAAGAGCUAAACAACAGUACGGGUCAGUAGAAAUACAGUAGCAAUAAUAAUAAAUGAAAGAGACAUAUAUAUGAAAGAAGUACAACUACCGCUACUGUAAUGGACAACUGAAUGUAUACAUGUAUCAAGACUAUAGUAGCAAGACGAUGUAAUGAAAGAACUGAAGGUAUACUAACAACAACCGCUACUAUAGUUAUAUGCGUCAACCGGACAAGAAGUCCAAAUAUACCCAAUCUGGUAUCUGCUAUAUUGGUCCGCAGACCUCAAGCGCUGCCUGUCACUAACCUGCACCGACCUGAUUCACCCGCCCCAUAGGACGACCCAUCCGGAUAAGUACACCUCCGAUCGGUGGCCAAACCGAUCCGGUGUCGUGAAUACCCCCAAGUGCUGUGACUAAGUCAUGCUGGUAUGCUCAAUACAAAAACCGGCUGAAACCGGUGCCUAGGCCGAAGCCAGAAACAAGGGCGUACAACGCCGAACCUCGAUCAACUAGAUCAAAACACAUGACGAGAGAGUCAAUGUGUUGCCUGGACCCAAGGUCCACAGAGUCCAACUGACCAACAAGGUCCCUGAUACGAAGUACGAGAACCGACCAACCAUGUCAACAGAUACGGAAUGCAACAACCAACCAACUAGAUCAACAGAUGCUGAAUGCAACAACAGACCAACUAGGUCAACAGAUACGGAAUGCAACAACCAACCAACUAGAUCAACAGAUGCGGAAUGCAACAACCAACCAACUAGGUCAACAGAUACGCAUGUAGAUAGAACUACUCUACUCCUACUAAGGAUACUAAGCAUGCAAACAACGAGUAGAGUAUAACGAAUAAACAAGGGUGCAAGGCUCAAUAUCCUAUGCGAUAGUAACAACAGAAGGGUAAGGGUAAGAAACCAUCACCAAGCGUGCACCACUGUACCGACGUCGGGUCGAAGUACCCACCUGUACGGAUGUCGCGUUUGUCUCCUGACUGCAAAAGAAUGUCGACAGGACCUAUAGAGGGUCCACCGGGUUAGUAUCUAACCCACAACUAAUAAUCACAGUAUCCACAACCCCACAAACAAUUUCAAGAAGAUCGGUCUCCUAAUACCGAUUACCGUAACUCACCGAAAGUCCCGAAAACCACACCGGGACGCCGUCGGGACCCACUAAGUGUCCCGAACUCACCGACUCGUGCCACGAGUCACCCGCUGCCCCAAAGCACUCCAAUUUGGAUGCCUUGGCAGCGAACACGAGGUAGCACAACCAUACGAUCAUCGCCGGAUAAUCGUACGAAUCCGGGUUCCCAGAAGUGUCUAUUUCGACACCGGAAUCCACCGUCGCUCACCCAUCAUCAUCGAACCCACAAAAUGAUGAUGGUGACCAGCCAACAAGGCUCAGCGACAAAACACGAAGCAACCAAACACCGUCGGAAAGAAUCCGAACCGAAACCGCGUUCUUUCGGCGAAUUUCGCCGAAAAACGCACCGAAAUCGACCUACCGAUUUCCGCGAAAGCUAACGGACCAUGGACAAUCAGUCCAGCGGUCAUUACAAACUCCCACACACUGCCCACAGUAGCCACGCAAAGCACAAUUGCAUAAAAGACCCUCUAAUUACAUAAAAUAUCAUCAUUUUAUGUAAUUUGAGCGAUCAAGCGGCUCGUUCACGCAAACCGAGGACUUUCGAAGUCCGCAGAGACACGUACUGACAGGUCUCGACGUACCGGAGUCCGUGCUCACGAUCCGGAGCACAGCGGCUCGCUGUGGGAAGCGCGGGAGCAACCCGAAGGUUCAGCGAAUAGCGCGCAGUCAGGGAAGAUCGCGCCGAACAGAACUAACCGGACACUUCUGAUCCAAGGGAAGGUGAGCAUUGUGAUCAGCACUGACCAGCGGUCACCGUGCUCACCUCCGGAGGCAUCGGAACAGCCUCGGAUCGCCGGAUAAGCGUGCGCAAACUCAAAACAGCAGCCAAACAGGCUCGACGGGGUCGACACCGCCAAAACAGCAGAACGGAGUCUCCCCGACAGAAACUAAGGUGAGCACGAUGAUCAGCAACUUGCCAGGAUCAUCGUGCUCCCUUCCGUAGAGAUCGGGGAAGCUCGGGAAGCCCAGAACAAGAAACCCACUCAAAUAAGCCCUAUUUCGGGCUUGGCCGGAGCAACCUUGCUCCGGCCGGCCUCCGGCGGCACGGCGGCGCGCGCGGGGCCCUGAGUCGGGUGAGGGGGAGGUGAGGAACUCCGUGCUCACCUCGGUUGGCGACGAGAAGCGGCAGUGGCAGCGGCGGAGCAAGCUCGGCCCGCAAGAGCUAGGGCACGGACUCCAAGGAAGCUGCGGCCACGGCGGCGACUGGGGAAGGUCGGGGACGACGACUGCGGGUCCCCAGAGGCCGGAGGAGGAGGAAGGAGGCGGCCUCGAGAGGCGGCGGCGCGGGAAAGUGGUCGCAAACAAGAUCGGCCUGGGCUCGGGCUGGGGUGGCCGCGGCUGGCCGAGGCGGUGAAGGCGGCGCGCCGGGGCGGCGGCGACCGGAGGGAAGGGGCGCCCGGGCACGGAGGGUGUCGGCGGGAGGGUUUCCAGGCGGCGGCGGUGCAGGAGGGAGGUCACGAGUGGGUCACGGCCAGGGCUCGGUCUGGGCUGGCAGAUGUGGCCCGGGGCGGCAGCGGCGGCGCAGGCGACGGCGGCGGUCGGCGGGGAAGGUCGCCGGAGCACGGGGCGACACCGAGGGAGGGUCCGAAGGUGGCAGCAGUCUCGGGCCUCCACACAACCCGAGAGGAGAGAGGAAGAGAGAAAGAGAGGGAAGAAGAUGGAGAGUGGUGGCUGCCGCGUGGUUGGCCGGCCGGGGCUCGAUCGGCGGCGGCCAGGGCACGCGCAGCAAGUGCAGGGAAGAGGUAGGAGGCGGCUAGGGGGCUAGGGCAAGGCUAGGGUUAGGGUUGAGUGGCUCCAAACCCUAAAGAGCCUAUAAAAGUAAGGUGCAACAUGCAAAAAGGUCCCCCAAACAUCAGAAUUACAAUCCGAGUCCCUCACAGUACGAUUAAAACGCAUGAACGCCCCUCCACGUGCGAUCCCACGCGAAACGGUACAUAAAAUAUCGCGACUUUUGCGAAAUUACCGUUUUGCCAACAGCGACCUCUCCUCGAUCAACGUGCGAUCUCCGUAGAUCCGUCCGUCAAAUUUGCGAAUGGAUUGCACCAGUGCGAUCAGCACCUCAGAGACAACAAAGCUACUAUUUUGGUUCACCUCGAUCGACCACGGAUUCGCGACAAAAUCCAACCUUUCAUUCCAACAGAAUGAAUAACACAAAAAUACAUAUAAAACAUGUAUUUUUAUAUUUUCUCGAAAUCCGUGCGUCAAACUCAAAAUCCAUCAGCGCCAUUGGUUCCAGAACAACUGAACCGGUCGAAACGAGCUAUUGGACCGCUAGGAACGGAGUCCGAUACGAGCCUGAAGCCAACUUCACACCGUGGCUUCUCCGGAAAAUCGAGUUACUAUUCACUUUAAGUGAAACUAAAAAUUGCGUAUCUUCUCCAUUUUAGCUCAUUUUCUUCUGAAACUUGACGAGUGCUUAUGUAAUUAAAUUACACACAUAAACAUCGUCAACUGAGAGCUUAACUACACUGCAAAAGUCUCAGUCCUUACACUACCAUUAAAAUUGUAAAUUUUGAAACACUUUGAUCAUUAGGUCAAUGAUGUCAAAAAGAUUUGAAAUUUGGUUUCUAAAUAUUUCAAGUAGUAUAGAUCAUAUUCAACAAUGCCGAUUGUCUAUUUAGAGACUCUAUCGUUGAAAACAAAUUGGUGGCAAUAGAGCCGAUUUGCUACCGAUAAGAUCCAGCUCAACUCUCUCUCUCUCUCUCUCUCUCUCUCUCUCUCACAUAUAGAGUUGAGCUAGAAUACUAUCGAUAGCAAACGAGUUCCGUUGCCACCCAUUUGUUUUCGAUGAUGGAGCCUUCAAAUCGACGAUUGGCACCGUUGAACAUGAUCUAUACCACUUGAAGUAUUUAGAAAUCAAAUUUCAUACAUUUUCGACAUUGUUCUCCUAUCCAUCGAAUGGACACAAAAAUGUACGGCUGAAAAUGAAUAUUCUUUAAAAAAUUAUAAUAGUAGUCUUGUAAUCAAGAUCAAGAAUAUAGAUCUUGUUUUAAAUAGUUUAAAGAAUUUUCUAACAAAAAUUCAAUUGAUUUGGAUAUCUUUACGCCGUUAAACAAAAAAAUGCCUCAUAUCGACCAUUAAAAUUACAAAUUUUGAAGCCCUUUGAUCGUUAGGCAAAUGAUGUCGAAAAGAUUUAAAAUUUGAUUUCUAAACACUUCAAAUGGUAUAGAUCAUGUUCAACGGUGUCGAUCGUUGAUUUGAAGGCUCUAUCAUCGGAAACAAAUGGGUGGCAACGGAGCCUAUUUACUAUCGAUAGUAUUCUAGCUCAACUCUAUGAGUCCGGCUACUAUACUCUUAUGAGUAUAGAACCUAUUAUACUCAUAAGUUUUUGGCCGUUAGAUCUACCCUUUAAUUAUUUUCACCUGUUAAAUUAUACUAUUCAAUCAACCACCCACUCAACCCUAGGGGCUCACUAUUAACUUAACUGUAACCACUUUCAUCAUAACCACACAUUUUUUUCAUCUAAAAAGUGGCUCCCACCAAAUCUGUUGGUGUGGUAUUUUAUUCCGCAUAGCACUUAUGUAACGACCCAGUCCACUAGCAACAAUAACUCGUUGGGCCCAACAACUGGCCCAAAAUGCUUAAGCCCAGUUGUUAUUACUAGUGUUUAAGUCUCUUAUAAACCCAAUGACAACCUCAUUCCCAUCCGAUGUGGGACUAGUGUCACAGACUCCCCCCGUUAAGGCCCUGACGUCCUCGUCAGUCCAAUCACACACAGCCCAAGAUCACCAUGCGAUGUGAGACUCAUCUCGCUAGCCCGUCAUCCAGACCCUCGCUCAGCCGAGACUCGUCACACAUGUCCAGCUGGUGAACCGGCUCUGAUACCAAAUGUAACGACCCAGCCCACUAGCAACAAUAACUCGUUGGGCCCAACAACUGGCCCAAAAUGCUUAAGCCCAGUUAUUAUUACUAGUGUUUAAGUCUCUUAUAAACCCAAUGACAACCCCAUUCCCAUCCGAUGUGGGACUAUUGGGGUGUCACAACUUAGCUCUCACACUUUCGGCUUGUAUUUGGCUUUGAUACAAAUUAUAACGACCCGACCCAAUGGCAACAAUAAUUCGUUGGGCCCAAACCACCGACCAAAAUACUUAAGUUCAGUUAUUAUUACUAGCGUGUAGCCCUCAUAUAUUUUAAUCAGAAUUAUUUUUCCAGCCGAUGUGGGACUAUUGGGGCGUUACAACUACAAUGUGCAACUUGUCAUGCUAGUUUUAACUGACUUGUGGGAAUUCGCACUCUACUCCCAAUGGCCGGCUGAGCCCCGUUCUGCACGCUGUAUAACCAUAGUUUAAUCGAGACCCAUAUCACAUUUCUGAUUAAUUAUUGAAUUUAAUACUAAAGUAUAAUGCUCUGCUUUUUAGGAUCACUCAUUCUAAAACUAUUCUAGUUCUAACAUUUUUAAUCCUUUUAUUCCCUUGAAUCCAGCCUUACAAUCAUAAAAUUAUUUUUUGAGAUUUUUUUUUUUUUUCAUUUUCAAAGAAGGUAUAGAAAUGUAUGAUAAAAAAGUUCAAGAGUUGGACUAGCUGGUACUUGGUGGUCUUCUCAUAUCUGUUGGAUUUUUGUGGUAGGGUUGGUUAGACUUUGAUUCUUUCUUGCAUUUUCAGCUUCUACCCUAUGAACUCACCUAGUUUUUCAUUUGACCCAUGGGUUAUUGUUUCUAAUGUGUCCCUUUUAUCCUUUCCACAUCAUUAUAGGAUGAAAAUCCCAAUGAAAAAUGUUUCCUUCUAGUCUUAGUAAAUGAUUUCCAAGUCAAAACAUCUCAAUCAUGUGUUGUUUUUGAUGUGUUUCUUAUUGGAAUUGCUUGUUCAUUUUGACCAAGAAAGUGACCAAUAGAAUAACUUAAAACUCAAGCCUAUUAAAAAAUUUAAAAUUUAUUUCUCUAUAUUCAAAUAUCCUUCUAAAAUUUAUUCCCACCGGUAAACCCUAGAGAAAAAAAGUUAUUUGAGAAAUUCAAUAAAAAUAUUUUGAUCAUCCAGAGAUAAAUAAGAAAUUUUUAACAUUUUGAAGAAUAUAUUAGAUAUUAUUUCUAAACUUUUAUUGUCCCCUUUUUUUGUGCACUUUAUUAAUAGAAUAAAAAAAAACACACACACAUGAACAAAAUGCACUCGCGUUCAGACACAAUUACUAUUCAGAAGGUCAUGAUUUGCCCAAAUGAAUCUAAACUAACCGAAAGAAAUUAAGUGUCGUCAUGUGAAGAGAAAACAAACUCUAUGUAAAAGAUACAACAGUCUGGAUUUUUCUAAACUUUUGACUUACCUUCUUCCGUUAGCUAUUUUGAUGAUUUCGUUGGAAUCAAAUCAAACGCCCAGAGAAGAUGCAUGCGAUCAAGAGUUGCUUUAGUCAAAAGGAAAUCACAUGCAUAUCUUGUAAUCGUUUGAUUUUACCGGAAUCCUUCAAAUUACUAAUAGAAGUUAAAAUGGUUAUUAAGUAGAGAACAACUUUCGUUAUCGUCGCUUUAUCUCCGAAUGAAUCAAACGGGCCUACCAAGCGUAAUUGACCAAUUUCAACGGAUUGAUCAAGAUUCAAAAAGCACCAAAUCACUUGAUGGCACUCAAAUUCUUUCCCAUCGUGUGGGUCUUACCAAAUACUUCUUCUGGUUGACCUGUACAAUGACAAUAAUGGCGCAUUUGGUUCAAGAGGAGAAAUCAAAAUUAGAAUUGAAAUGAAAAUGGGUCGAAAUCGAAGACGGAAUGAUGAAAAUAAUAAUUUGUUUGGUUCAUAAGAGAAAUCAGAAUCAUGUCCAAAUUGAAAUUCGGAAUAAAUUAAAUUUUUAUUAGAAAUUUAAAAUUUGUUACUCAAUUUUUUAAUCAAGUCAGAAUAUGAAUUUGAACUUAUUAUUUGAACUUAAAAUUUUAAUUUACAAUUCAAAUUAAAGGUCAAAGUCAAAAGUCCAAUUUAGAAGUAUUAAAUUAAAAGUGAAAAAAUUAAAAUUUGAAUUGUAAAUUUAUAUUUAAAAUUUGAAUUUGCAAUUCAAAUUAAAGGCCAAAGUCAAAAUUUAAAUUUAGAACUAUUAAAUUAAAAUUAAAAUUUUAUAUUUUAUAUUUUAUAUUCAAAUUUGAAAUUAUGAUUUAAUUUAAUGAAUUUAUAUGAUUGAUAUUUGNAUUAAAUUAAAAGUGAAAAAAUUAAAAUUUGAAUUGUAAAUUUAUAUUUAAAAUUUGAAUUUGCAAUUCAAAUUAAAGGCCAAAGUCAAAAUUUAAAUUUAGAACUAUUAAAUUAAAAUUAAAAUUUUAUAUUUUAUAUUUUAUAUUCAAAUUUGAAAUUAUGAUUUAAUUUAAUGAAUUUAUAUGAUUGAUAUUUGAAUUCAAAUAAUUAUUAGUAGAAAAAUAUAUUUUUUCUCAAUCACUCCGGAAUCACAGUCGACUCCCAUCAUGGAGGUGGGAGUCACUUUUGAGGGAUUCAAAUCCCUUCGGAACCGGCAUCGGAUUGCCAAUCUUUUAAUCCAAACACUAACCAUCAGAAUAACUUAAUUAUUUCGACUCUUAUUCCAAGUUAAAAGUUAAAAAUACUUCAAACCAAAUAUGCCCUAAGGCCCCGUUUGGAUACCCCUAAAAACGUAGUAUAGUUAAACUAUACUAUGCUGGAAGGAAAAUAAUCCUAUGAAGCGUUUGUGUCACGCCCCGGAUUACUCGUUCCCCGGGAGCGCCGACAAAUCCGACGUAUACAAAGGAAUUUCCCCUGUAUACGAAGCGAUAGCUGUACCUAUAGAUCAUACAAAACUACAAACAGUAGUAUAGAGCUGCUAGAAGAACCAGUAAUAAAAACAAACCGAGUUCCAUAUACAUACGCCAAAACCAAGAUAUAAAACUACUCGCACUGGCGAGUUAAAUAUAUAUAUGUACAUGAACUCCAACAAAACAACUACCUGCAGUAGGGGCACCUCUAUCUCGGCUCGUUGGGUAGAGUUCUAACUCGCGACGCCCUUGCCUCGAUCCUGAUCAGCAACAGCAGCAGCCGAAGACGAUGGCUCUGCAAAGAAAAACGGGGUAACAACAGGGCGUGAGAACUACUGUAAAACAAGUAGUCCUCAGUGGGUGCCGCCCUCAACAACAUCGGUCCACCCACUAAGUCUACAGAAGGGAGCAAAGGUAGUAAUAAAUAUUGGAAUGAAAUCUACAGCUACUAUUUAAUACACUAUCAUGCUCUAACUGACCUACUGUAGUAAUGUCAAUCCUGACCCAAUCUCUUUAGGGACUGUAAACAUACCCGUCCCAGGGACUGUGAACACAUCCGUCCCGCCCAGUUGAGACUAUCCAGCUACCUCCACACUAUCCAGUCCGUGGAGAGUAAGUCUAACCGACAUGAACGACACCAACGCGAAAGCACAACGCCCGUCUCCGGAGUGGCACUCGUGGGAGCUACCCAACCGAGUAUACAGCGUAUCUCUGUCGAGCUCAAUCAGGCUCCAACUAGCCAAAGUCAUGUAAACAGGGUCAAAACAGGUCUACAAACAAAACCCACGUGCCCUCGGCACAAUCUGGAACCAAAUAAGAAUCUGGGUCCACCGCCAAUCCGGACGGCACUCAACGACCCGAAACAACCUAGACUCUGUUGAAAAAUAAGCUCGGCACCCCAGCACGAGCGUAAAUGCCUUCUAAACUACCUUAGAUAUCCAUCGCACUGAUACUGCAACGAUACAGUCGAACCACGGCUCCUAGAGCUAAAUCUGGUAGUUCAAGCAUAUAACGGGUCAAAACGCAGGUUUUCUCCUAAGUGAAAUUCCAAGUCCAACAUGUAUAUUUAUCAUUUAUUUAGCACGUUUAAAUUCAGAUUACAGCCACUGCUAAUCAAUGAAUUUAAUCUAAUCAUAUUGUAGAUCAAACAAUAAGCAUGCAUGUCGACUAUACAUCUACUCAUUUACUAAGGAGUAAUCCGAUGAAAACCCAUCUCAAAGGCAAUUUCUCUGGCAACAACACGGUUUCGGAUCACAAGAACACAGCUGGGAAACACCUCCAAACCAGCAACAAUCCCUUCAAAAUCUGGACAUUACAAUUCACUCAAAAUCCAUUAAAAUUCAUCAAUUUCAGCACCUAAGCUUAGGAUUUAUCCAAUUCCAAUAUCAAAACUCACCUAACAAUCUCCAAAUCAGGUGAAGACGGUCCCAAUUCUAGUACUGGUUGAUAGGGGAUGUGACUCAACUCCACAAAGCCCCUGCUUCCAAAGUUCACCCCAAGAAAACUCAAAAACUUGCAAUUCUGUCCAUAGCAACAGUAGCAGAGGAAAACCUGAGUUCGACUAAGCUAACCUUCACCAAAUUCUGCAAAUCAAGGCUUCAUGGAUUCCUCUAAAAGUCUAGAAUCUAGCAAACCAAGUUUCGUCGAAAUCUGAUAUCCCUACGUCGCGCACGAGCCAAAAUACUGAAGGUCGUCACUGAAAAAUUACAGAAUCAGCACCUUGCAAUUCUUGGAGAUGUGAAAUCUUGAUGCAAAUUGAAAAGAUUGGAGGAAGUAAGGAGCAAAAUCUAAGUUCUCUAUGAAGAACAGGUAAAAAGAGCUCAAAGGGGACGUAUACCAGAUAUUUAUAGAGUGCUGGAGUAACAAAAUAAGCCCCAAGAGAAACAGCUGAAAUCUGGUGUCCCUGCAAAAACGGGUGUUUUUGGGCGCCCGAAACCAUGUUCUGGGCGACCGAAACAUCCGGGCUGCACAAAUCAUGCUCCUCGGACUCUCUGCUCGCGGUGUGCUGCGCCCGUAAACGGCUCCGGUGGAACUCACCUACCACCCUGCCACGCGUCGAAGCAAACGAUAUAAACGAUGUAGAAUUUCCGGACCACUUCUCGGCGCCUGGAACAUAGGAUCCGAAUUGGCUUCCAGUUUCAGUUGAAUUCAACACUCGGUUCUGGGCGACCUAAACCAUGUUCUGGGCGCCCGAAUCUGGCAAAACUCUAGUUUUGCUUAUUUGAGUGCGCCGAGUCCAAUUCUGCAUCCAAUUCGUGCAAAAUUGACUCCGACUCAAUCCGACACUCUUCAGAGAUGUCGACCAGUCACUAAUACUGAAGCCAAUCCUAUCCAAAGCUCAGGAACACUAUAUCCUCCCCCACUACAAAAAGUUUCGUCCACGAAACUAAAAACAUACCUCAAUCCAGAGCCUCAAAUAGGUAGGGGUAGGACUCCUUCAUCACCGUCUCCGGCUCCCAAGUUGCCUCCCGCUCCUCGUGAUUACUCCACUGCAACUUUACAAAGGGUAUGACCUAGUUGUGCAAUUCCCUCGACUCACGAGCCAUAAUCGGCACCGGUCGCUCCUCAUAACUCAGGUCCUCGCCAAUCUCAAGCGGAGUGAAGUCAAUCACGUGGGAGGGGUCGAACACAUAUUUUCUCAAAGCCGAGACGUGGAAGACAUCGUGAAUGCUGGCUAGUCGUGGUGGUAGAGCAAUCCUAUAAGCAACUGGCCCGACUCGCUCUAACACCUCAAAAGGGCCAACGAAACGUGGACUGAGCUUUCCACGUACUCCAAAUCCGCGAAUCCCUCUGGACGGCGAGACUUUAAGAAAAACAUGAUCUCCUACCUGGAACUCCAAGUCUCGUCUCCGGGUAUCAGCAUAGCUCCUCUGUCAACUCUGGGCUGCUAACAUGUACCGUAGCGCCUCCUUUACCUUUUUAUCAGCCUCAAUCAGAAUCUCAGACCCAAGCGUCCUCCUCUCACCCACAUCACUCCAAAAUAAAGGGGAUCGACAUCUGCGUCCAUACAACGCCUCAAAUGGAGCCAUUUGGAUGCUCGCUUGAUAGCUGUUGUUGUACGUAAACUCAACCAGUCUCAAAUGCCGAUACCACCCUCCUCCAAAGUCCAGGACACAUGCCCUCAGCAUGUCCUCUAGAGUCUGAAUGGUCCGCUCUGACUGACCAUCUGUUUGUGGGUGAAACACUGUACUGAAUUGCAACUGAGUGUGCAAGGCCGUCUGAAGACUCCUCCAAAAGUGUGAUACGAACCUCGGGUCCCGGUCGGAUACUAUCGAAGUAGGCACGCCAUGCAACCUCACUAUCUCAUCCAAGUACAACUGAGCGAGUCUCUCUCUGGACCAAGUGGUCUGCACUGGUAGGAAGUGAGCAGACUUGGUUAGUCUGUCCACUAUCACCCAAAUCGCAUCAAAACCACCAUGUGCUCUCGGCAAUCCGACGACAAAGUCCAUCGUGAUCUGCUCCCAUUUCCACUUGGGCACUGGCAGACUCUGAAGCUUGCCAGUAUGUACCUGAUGCUCGGCCUUUACCUAUUGACAAGUCAGGCACUGGGCCACAAAUCUGCCAAUGUUCCUCUUCAUUCCAUUCCACCAAAACUGAGCCUUUAAAUCCUUAUACAUCUUGGUUCCACCGGGGUGAACCUUAUAAGGUGAACAGUGAGCAUCUCUUAAAAUGUCCUCUUCGAUCUCUGAAUCCAUAGGUACACACAGUCGGUCCCUGUACCGCAGUACUUCCGAAUUGUCCACAACAAAGCCCUCGGCCUGUCUCCUCUCAAGCUGCUCUCGAAUCCUCGACAAGUGCGGGUCUCCACUCUGUUUCUCUCGAAUCCUGUCCAACAGAGUGGGCUGCAAGAUUAUAGACAUCAGUCUCGCAGUAAAUCUAGGGAACACUACCUCGAGCCUCAGCCGCCGCAGCUCCUCGAGUAACGGUCUCUGCCGAGUGAUCAACAUGCUCAAGCUCUGCACUGCCUUCUUGCUCAACGCAUCUGCCACCACAUUCGCCUUGCCGGGAUGAUACUGAAUAUUAAUAUCAUAGUCCUUCAACAACUCCAACCACCGGCGCUGCCUCAGAUUCAAUUCCUUUUGGGUGAACAGAUACUUGAGACUUUUAUGAUCAGUAAAAACCUCGCAGUGCUCGCCGUACAGGUAAUGCCGCCACAACUUCAAAGCAAAGACUAUCGCGGCAAGCUCCAAGUCAUGCGUAAGGUAAUUCUUCUCAUAAUUCUUUAACUGCCGUGAAGCAUAAGUAAUUACCCUACCAUGCUGCAUCAGCACACAACCCAGUCCACUGUGCGAUGCAUCACUGUAGAUCACGAAUCCUUCCUCCAUCACAGGAAGGGCAAGGAUAGGAGCUGACAUCAACCUCUGUCUCAACUCAUCAAAGUUCCUCUGGCAAUCCUCACUCCAGAUGAAUCUAAUCCCCUUUCGCGUCAAACGAGUGAGGGGUGUGGAAAGCUUCGCAAAGCCUUCCACAAACCGACGGUAAUGCCCUACUAGUCCAAGGAAACUCCUCACCUCUGUCACCGUCGUCGGUCUGGGCCAAUCCCGAAUAGCAUCAAUCUUCUUCGGGUCAACCGCUACUCCCUCUGCUGAUAUCACGUGGCCCAAGAAAGCAACCUCCGGCAAUCAGAACUCGCACUUCUUUAACUUGGCUUACAACUUCUUCUCUCGCAGAAGCUGUAGCACAGUCCUCAAGUGCUCCUCAUGCUCGGCAUCGCUCCGGAAGUAUAUCAAGAUAUCAUCAAUGAAGACUACCACAAACCUGUCCAAGAACGGCUUGAACACUCUGUUCAUCAAAUCUAUGAAUGCGGCAGGGGCAUUCGUCAAUCCAAACGGCAUCAUCGUAAACUCAUAAUGCCCGUACCGAGUCCGAAAAACCGUCUUGGGAACAUCCUCGGCCCUCACCCUCAACUGGUGGUAACCUGACUGGAGGUCAAUCUUCGAGAAGACAUAAGAUCCUUGCAGCUGAUCAAACAGAUCAUCAAUGCGCGGCAAAAGAUACUUAUUCUUGAUGGUCACCUUAUUCAGCUCCCGGUAAUCAACACACAACCUGAGCGAACCAUCUUUUUUCUUUACAAACAGCACUAGCGCUCCCCAAGGUGACACACUGGGUCUCACAUACCCCUUAUCCAUCAAAUCCUGAAGCUGCGCCUUUAGCUCUCUCAGCUCUGCUGGUGCCAUCCGAUAAGGUGCCUUCGAGAUUGGUGCAGUUUCAGGAACUACAUCAAUCACAAACUCUAUCUCCCUCUCAGGCUGCAUCGUGAUCAACUAAGGGGGAAACACAUCCGGAAACUCGCGGACUAUAGGAAUAUCCUCGAGUCCCGGCGCCGCCGUAGGCACCUCUGUCACAGUCGCCAGAAAAGCAACGCAUCCUCUACUCAUCAGCUGUCGAGCCCUCGCCGAAGAUAUCCAGGUGGCAAACAAAGUACUCCUGCAGCCUUUGAAGGUGAACUCCUCCUGGCCUGGCUAGGGGAACGUCACAAUCCUCGCUCCACAGUCGAUAGUAGCAUAGUACCGUGCCAGCCAAUCCAUACCGAGCACUACAUCAAAGUCCUGCAGCUGCCCUAACACCAACAGGUCUGCGAGCAUGAUCCAAGAAUCCAACUGCACCGGACAUGACCAACAACGCUCUGUAACCUGUAAGACAUGGUCAGGGAUCUGCACCUCUCGUGUCUGUGACAAUGACCCUAACUCUAGACCAUGCAACAAUGCAAAUGCUCGGCUAACAAAAGAAUGCGUGGCACUAGUAUCAAAAGGAGCGCGAGUACGAAUGCCUGAAAUUAAAAUGAUACCUGCCACCACUCGGUCGGCUGCUACAGAAUCCUCCACCUGAGCUGCGUAAACUCUGCCACUCGGAGCCUGCUGUCGUCGCUCGCCCUGACGCGGCAUAGACGAUCUAUCCUCCUGGUGGAAACUCGGUGCUGCUCCAAAGGAUGGCUGAGAUGCCGGCUGCGCUGAUGCAGUGGAUGGCGCUGAUGAUGCUGCACCGGGACAAGCUGACCUCACAUGCCCGGGCUGACCGCAAGAGUAGCAACAGCCCUCUCUCUGCUCGCACUGCCAGGGCCAGUGUGGUCCCCCACAGAUCACACACUACGGUGUCCUCUGAGUCUGCCCCUAUUGACGAGAUCCCCUGGAACGCUGACGUCCCGAAGACCUACGACCCUGAGAGCGUGAUCGUGGAGGCCUCGGCGGACGCCUGCUGUUCGACUGUCCAGCAUCAUCUGAAAAGGAGCGCUUCCUGUCCUGACUCUGCCCAACGGUCGGAGUCCUCUCCUGUAGCGACACCUCACCUCUCUCCACCCACAAGGCCUACUCUAUGGACGCAUCCAAAGUCCUCAAUCUCUACGUCCGCGCCAACCUGAAGAUGUCGGGUCUCAGCCCCUGCUCAAACAGAUAGACCCUGUGAGCCUCAUCCCUGGCCACAAAUGGCACACAGUUCAGGAGUCGAGUAAACUCUCGAACAUACUCUUGCACUGGACGGUCCCCCUGCUGGAUCCUCUUCAAAUCCUCCUCGAGCUUCUGUUUCACACUGUUCGAAAAGAAUAUCCCAAACAGCAUUCCACAGAACCCAUCCCAUCUCAGCUGCAACGCUACCAGUCCCUGCUCUCUCCUCAUUCUCCUCCACAAGGCGUGGGCAUCACCUGCCAAGCAAUGGACUCCAAAAGACACCUGCUCCCCUUCAGGAAUGAACAGAUCCUCAAAUAGCUUCUCCAUCGCACUGACCCAUCCCUCAACAACCCAUGCCUCAGUGCAACUGCCAUCAAAAAUCGGUGGAUCAAAACGGCGAAAACGAGCCAACCUCUCUGUCCACCACUCCUGCUCGGCCUCUGUCAACUGUACUGGCCCCCCAGCAAGCGCAACUGGUGCUACUGGGACGGCUGCUGGCGGAGGGACUGCUGCAGCUGGUGCUGUCACUGGAGUACUCGGAGGUGGAACAGACGACUCUGGUGCCCUCGGUGCUGAACUCUGGGGGGAAGCUAACCUCUCGUACAUUCUCUCCAACAACUCCCCCUGCCGCCUCGUCACCUCUGUCAGAGCGGCUAACUGUGCACUUAAAUUCGGGGAUGCACUCGCCUCCGGUCGGGCCCUUUGCUCUACAACUGGGGGUGCACUCACCUCAGGUGGUGCACUCGGCUCUGCCUGCUCAGGCAUCUCGGGCGGGGCGGCAUGAUCUCUUAGCGACGGUCUACCUUGGCGACGAUACAUAGCUGUAAAGAACAAAACAGAAGUCAGAUACAACAAAACACUCUCGACCCAAUCAAACGAAAGUCUAGAAGGCGGCCCCUGUUUCUCCUCAAAAUUAUGUCGUCUACAGCCAACAUAAUUUUUCAGGACAAAACAGGAACUCCUCCAAUCACUCACUCCACUCUAGGAGGAGUUAGAACAACAAAUCAUUGACUUUCACGAAAUCAUUGACUUUCACGAUAAAGCACGCCUCUCACGUCUUGCCCUCCUAAGGUUUGCCAAACUUAGGGUUUCUAGGUCCUAACGACCUACAACUAAGCUCUGAUACCAACUUAAACUGUCACGCCCCGGAUUACUCGUUUUUCGGGCGCGCCGACAAAUCCGCCGUAUACAAAAAAAAUUUUCCUGUAUACAAAGCGAUAGCUGUACCUGUAGAUCAUACAAAACUACAAACAGUAGUAUAGAGCUGCUAGAAGAACCAGUAAUAAAAACAAACCGAGUUCCAUAUACAUACGCCAAAACCAAGAUACAAAACUACUCGCACUGGCGAGUUAAUUAUAUAUAUGUACAUGAACUCCAACAAAACAACUACCUGCAGUAGGGGCACCUCUAGCUCCGCUCGUCGGGUAGAGCUCUGACUCGCGGCGCCCUUGCCUCGAUCCUGAUCAGCAACAGCAGCAGCCGAAGACGAUGACUCUGCAAAGAAAAACGGGGUAACAACAGGGCGUGAGAACUACUGUAAAACAAGUAGUCCUCAGUGGAUGCCGCCCUCAACAACAUCGGUCUACCCACUAAGUCUACAGAAGGGAACAAAGAUAGUAAUAAAUGUUGGAAUGAAAUCUACAGCUACUAUUUAUUACACUAUCAUGCUCUAACUGACCUACUAUAGUAAUGUCAAUCCUGACCCAAUCUCUUUAGGGACUGUAAACAUAUCCGUCCCAGGGACUGUGAACACACCCGUCCCGCCCAGUUGAGACUAUCCAGCUACCUCCACACUAUCCAGUUCGUGGAGAGCAAGUCUAACCGGC